UUCACACGUCAUACAAUGGUCGGUACAGAGGGUUGCCAAGCCGCGAGGCGGAGCCAAUCCCACCAAAGCCGAUCGUAGUCCGGAUUGUUCUCUGCAACUCGAGAGCAUGAAGUCGGAAUCGCUAGUAAUCGCAGGUCAGCAUACUGCGGUGAAUACGUUCCCGGGUCUU
rnacentral:rRNA from 1 species